UACGGAGGGUGCGAGCGUUAAUCGGAAUUACUGGGCGUAAAGCGUGCGUAGGCGGUUUGAUAAGUCGGGUGUGAAAGCCCCGGGCUUAACCUGGGAAUUGCAUUCGAUACUGUCUGACUCGAGUCUGGGAGAGGGAAGCGGAAUUCCGGGUGUAGCGGUGAAAUGCGUAGAUAUCCGGAGGAACAUCAGUGGCGAAAGCGGCUUCCUGGCCUAAGACUGACGCUGAGGUACGAAAGCGUGGGGAGCAAACAGG
rnacentral:rRNA from 1 species